CAAUAGCGUAUAUUUAAGUUGCUGCAGUUAAAAAGCUCGUAGUUGGAUUUCGGGUGGGAAUGGCCGGUCCGCCGUUUCGGUGUGCACUUGCUACGCCCACCUUGCUGCCGGGGACGUGCUCUUGAGUUCACGCUCGGGACACGGAGUCGGCGAGGUUACUUUGAGUAAAUUAGAGUGUUCAAAGCAGGCCUACGCUCUGAAUACAUUAGCAUGGAAUAACACGAUAGGACUCUGGCCUAUCUUGUUGGUCUGUAGGACCGGAGUAAUGAUUAAGAGGGACAGUCGGGGGCAUUCGUAUUUCAUUGUCAGAGGUGAAAUUCUUGGAUUUAUGAAAGACGAACUUCUGCGAAAGCAUUUACCAAGGAUGUUUUCAUUAA
rnacentral:rRNA from 1 species